AUGCUCAUUUUGGCAACACAUAUACUAAAACUGGAAUGAUACAGAGAAGAUUAGCAUCGCCCCUGCACAAGGAUGAUUUGCAAAUUCGUGAAGUGGUCUAUAAAAAA
ensembl:snRNA U6 U6 spliceosomal RNA